CUUUCCUGUGUCUCUGUGCUCUUAAAACUGAGGGCUGAGUGUGGUGACAAUGACCUGGCUGGAAGGAUUUAUGUAAUUCUUUGUCUUGGCAGACCCACGGACACCACCACCUUCUUCGAAGUCACAACGGGCUUCAUAGGGCAUGAAGAGAUCAAGCUGGAACUGAUCUGGAAGGCUCCUCCAUCCUGGCUGGCUUUCAUAGUGCCAGAAGAUGAUGAGCAGGCUGCUAGAAGAAAGAAAUUAUAAAUGGUUUUACCCAGCUCUGACUUCUGUGAACUAUAAUAGCAAUGCCAGAGCUCAGAGAACAUGGAGGAAGAGGGGGAGAAAGAAGAUAAGAGCCAAAGGAUGGAGAGAUUUGCAACCAAAAGGUGUCUUGUGGGCAUGACAUAACCAUUGCAUUUAUGAACUUACGGCAGCAGUGGCUACCUGAACAAGACCUGCGUAAGAUUGGAUCCACCAAGAGUUUGCCAUAGAUGGGAGAAGGACCAUAAGGCCCACACGUCCCUAAGGGAGUAGUGGCAGUUAAUGGUUACUGGGGGCUGGGUAUCAUUUUCUUCAGUGGUGUAGGCAUUGGUCAAUUGCGGGGAUGCUUCAGUAAAUAACCUCCCAUUCACAGGUGUGCCAGAAGCUAAUUAUAAAUUCAGUGGGUCACAAACAAACAAGAGGACAUGAAAGGGGAGGG